rnacentral:rRNA from 1 species
GGUGGUGCAUGGUUGUCGUCAGCUCGUGUCGUGAGAUGUUGGGUUAAGUCCCGCAACGAGCGCAACCCUUGAUCUUAGUUGCCAUCAUUUAGUUGGGCACUCUAAGGUGACUGCCGGUGAUAAACCGGAGGAAGGUGGGGAUGACGUCAAAUCAUCAUGCCCCUUAUGACCUGGGCUACACACGUGCUACAAUGGACGAUACAAACGGUUGCCAACUCGCGAGAGGGAGCUAAUCCGAUAAAGUCGUUCUCAGUUCGGAUUGUAGGCUGCAACUCGCCUACAUGAAGCCGGAAUCGCUAGUAAUCGCGGAUCAGCAUGCCGCGGUGAAUACGUUCCCGGGCCUUGUACACACCGCCCGUCAAACCACGAGAGUUUGUAACACCCGAAGUCGGUGAGGUAACCUUUGGAGCCAGCCGCCGAAGGUGGAUUGAACUCG